CCCUUAGAUGUUCUGGGCCGCACGCGCGCUACACUGAUGAAUUCAACGAGCUCCUAACCUAGGCCGAAGGGUCCGGGUAAUCUUUGAAAUUUCAUCGUGAUGGGGAUAGAUUAUUGCAAUUAUUAAUCUUCAACGAGGAAUUCCUAGUAAGCGCGAGUCAUCAGCUCGCGUUGAUUACGUCCCUGCCCUUUGUACACACCGCCCGUCGCUCCUACCGAUUGAAUGGUCCGGUGAAGCGUUUGGACUAUGGUUUUCUGACGGUUCGCCAUUGGAUUACCGUGGGAAAUUCGUUAAACCUUAUCAUUUAGAGGAAGGAGAAGUCGUAACA
rnacentral:rRNA from 1 species